UGCAAGUCGAACGUGCGGAAGACUUCGGUUUUCCAAAAGUGGCGCACGGGUGAGUAACGCGUAGCUGACCUGCCCCUCGCUGGGGGAUAACACGCCGAAAGGCGUGCUAAUACCGCGUACGCUCACGGGGAUUUAGAAGCCUGUGAGGAAAGCGUUUGUAGCGGCGAGGGAGGGGGCUGCGUACCAUCAGCUCGUUGGUGAGGUAAUGGCUCACCAAGGCAACGACGGUUCGGGGACCUGAGAGGGUGACCCCCCACACUGGCACUGAGAUACGGGCCAGACUCCUACGGGAGGCAGCAGUAAGGAAUAUUGCACAAUGGGCGCAAGCCUGAUGCAGCAACGCCGCGUGCAGGAUGAAGGCUUUCGGGUUGUAAACUGCUUUUAUGAGGGACGAGCAAGGACGGUACCUCACGAAUAAGUCUCGGCUAACUACGUGCCAGCAGCCGCGGUAACACGUAGGAGACGAGCGUUAUCCGGAUUUACUGGGCGUAAAGCGCGGGUAGGUGGGGUCUUAAGUCAUGCGUGAAAGCUCUCGGCUUAACCGGGAGAGGUCGUGUGAAACUGGGGCUCUCAGAGGUAGGUAGAGGCAGAUGGAAUUCCGGGUGGAGUGGUGAAAUGCGUAGAGAUCCGGAGGAACACCAGUGGCGAAGGCGAUCUGCUAGGCCUGACCUGACACUCAGACGCGACAGCAUGGGGAGCGAACGGGAUUAGAAACCCCGGUAGUCCAUGCCGUAAACGAUGCAUACUAGACGUUAGGGAGGCAUAGCCUCUUUAGUGUCGAAGCUAACGCGAUAAGUAUGCCGCCUGGGGAGUACGAGCGCAAGCUUAAAACUCAAAGGAAUUGACGGGGGCCCGCACAAGCAGCGGAGCGUGUGGUUUAAUUCGAGGCUACACGAAGAACCUUACCUAGGCUUGACAUAGUGGUGGU
rnacentral:rRNA from 1 species